UAUGAAAAUGACGCAGGGCACUGGGUAAUGACAGAUCUCGUGCACCUGUAGAUACAAAACUCAUUGAGUACACCUCUGUCUAAUGAGAAAGCACAAGUGCUCUGACAAGAAAAAACAACAAAUAAAGAAAAAAGUCUCUAUCCUGUCAAAUACUAUGUGCAUAUCAAGAAUCCGGAAUACAAAGCAGACUUAACAGCAAUCACAUUUAGAGUAGAAUUCACUUGAAUGCAACACCUUCUCCUUCUAAGGUUUUGAGUGUGGUAUCUUAAAGAAUAUCACACAAAUUACUCAUCGCAGGAACAAAGGCUCUUUUUUGAAAGCUGUCAGGUUGCUGACAGUUAUGAUGAGCAUUUACUUCAGGCUUGUAAAACAUUAAUCAAACUUGUUCCUAUAGCUUUAGUCCAAGGAGGGUUACUGUUUCUUUUAGAUAAAUAUUUAACAUAAGUGAAGAGCUCUGAAUAUGUAUACACCUUGAAUGUGAACCACUGUCUAUGCCAUUCAUUUAUUUGUAAUGAAUAAAUACUAGUCUAUGCCAGGCUUAAGGAAGAUUGAAGCAGUAUAUGGAAAUCUGUUUAUGACAAGACUAUUUGCCAAAGACCUAUGCACCAUUCAUUGAACCUUGAAAAACAUUUGAAAAUAUGGGUUGCAUUUGCAAACUUCAAUGUAUGACAUGGAGAGCUGGCAAGCUGCCUGGUUUCUACUUAAAGGAUUGUCAUUCUGGGAAAAAUAAAUUUCUCUAACUAGACAAAAGUCAAUGUUUUCAUGUUUUACUGCAAUCAAACUGAUAUGGCUGACAAUUUAAUGUCUCAACACUUAAAAUAUCUGUGGAUAAUCAGUUACCUCAAUCAAUCAUAACUACAAGAUUUUUCUAUUUUCAAAGCUUGUAUACACAUGACUGAGAUAUUUAAUAAUUUAGAAAAACCUCCCCAUCUUUAAUCCUUCAUGAUUUCUCUUGAGCUGUGAAGUUCUUUUUUUUUUUUUUUUCCCAAAUGCAUGAUUUUAUAAUUGCUGUGGGGAAAAAAAUUCCAACCCUGCACUGUAAUUAUAUUUUGAAACCUUUGUGUUAAUGUCCUGUUUUAUUUAAUUUUAUGUAUAUUUUAUAGUCUGCUUGCCUGUCAAAAAGAUGUGGAAAUGUGCUGGCAUUACAGCUGAAGACAUCCUUAUGAGUGAGAAAAUGCUCAAGGCUUUUUCAAAGUGGGUGCUGAAACACACGUUUCUCUUCUUUGACUCCAGGGGAUGCUAACAGCUGGCCCACAAGACAGGUAUUUCAGGGUCAAAGGCUAGCAGAGCUGUGCACAUUCAGGAUUUGGCUGCCAGUAAAGGAGAUGGGUAUUUUCUCAAAACUAAUAAAAAUAGCAACAAUGAUGAGAAGAAGGAGCUGACAACAAAAAUGAAAAGGAACCUGCAAGAAGUGAAUUCUGGGUAGCACAACACUUGCAGAGCUGAUUUUAAUAUCUGACAGGCUGAGUUCACUAAUCUUUGCUAUUCAUACUGACGUGAAACUUCAUACUGUUUUAGAAAUUUGUAUUUAUUAAGACAUGCAGCAGUGUUCGUACAACAUGGGAACAAGUUUGCUAGCAUUUGCCAUUCUUCCUCUGUGAUAAAAAUUGUUAUGAACUUUUUUAAAUGCCUAACAGAUAAUUACUCUCAACACCCAAUAAUGAAAGCUACAUCUUUAGAGCUUCCUUUAUCUUUAAAAAAAUAACAAAAAAAACCAAGCCCAAAACUGGCUAACAAGACAAAACAUUUCCCCCCUCAUUUUCCUCCCUCUCUUUUGUUUCUUUGAUUACUUGGAGCCUUGUAAUCAAACUAAGCUUAGUUUUGGGACCCUUGGGGCAGUAUCUCUUAACUCCCUGUCAGACUGAGUUGCAAAACAAUCAAUCUUGCUCUUGCACUGGCUUGGUGGAUGAGUCACGACACGAGGAGUGCAAUGCUUUGCUCUUGCUGUGAAGCUUCGAUGACAAAAGUUUUUAUCAGAAGCUGACUGUAUUUAGGAUUAUGAAUAUGCAAUGACUCUCAUUAGUAUUGAAGCACAGGAGCACGGGCUGACAUCCCCCGCCACUUUUAGCUGCUGCAGAGUUGUCUAAUGAAUUGUCUUGCUCUUUCACUCGAACAGACUUUGCUGUUAUGGUUCCCUGCUCUAAGGGGAGUUGCCUGGUUUGAGAAUACUAUUGACGGCAGAAAUUAAUUGCCAAGAACUGCUCUUGAUUUUGUUAAACAGUGUUGAAGUGGUGUUUAAAUUGUCAAAACAGAAAACCAUUAAACUCUACAGGAGACAAAGUCAUCACAGGAGUGUCUGUUCUCAUCAGCUGGAGAAAAAAUAAAGAACAUCUACAUGUUGGGAGUAUCAAAUACAAGAGCAGUUUAAAAUUAAUGCAGUUCUGACAAAAGUGGCUCAAGUAUCAUACAUCAAACACUUGUUACCUCUCUUUGCCUUAGUGAUUGCACGUGACUAAGAAAGAGUGAGUGAUAAAAUCUGAAGAAAGAUGAAACCAAUCUGGGGCUUUUUAAAGAUCAUCAAUCAUUCCAUGCAGCCAUGGUAUUAUUAGUUCCAGUAAGCCUUGUUCUCCCAUUUUAUGGACAUCAUAAACCCCCCACCCCUAGACCAAUGUUACCAUGGGAAAUCAUUUUUAUGGGCAGCAUCUUAGUGUGGGCCAAUCAGAUCUAAUCACAUAACAAGCUACUGAAUUAUUCAACAUUCUCCCUAAUUUUGCAUUCUUCCUGCACUUUGCUGUCACUGCAGGGUUUUAAAAGUAUGUGUUUUUACAAUAUUUAUUAAGAAUAUAAUAAUAAGCAGGAAUUUUGCUUUCUCUACGUCUUCCAAUAAGCGUUUGUUCCCUUGGAUUGUUGCAGUGUAUACAUUACUAUAUAAAGAAUAUAUUAAAAAAAAAAUAAAUAGAAACCCACAGUGUGGCAUUAGGCUUUAAACUCUUUCAGCUUUUAAGAGACCGAAUGUAAAGACAACAAUAGUGAAACAAUUGUGUUCAAACAUAAAAUAUUCAGAUUUACUGAGCAAACUGUAACCAGCAUGUCUCUUAGCUGUUGCUAUGAAUACAGGGGCUUACAUUGUAUAUGAAAAUAUUUCAGUUUUAAUUGCAAAUCUGUGCAGAGAUGAUUUGGGGUCUGUAAUUAGCACAUAAAUUCCAGACUUUGUGACUGCUGUGAAAACACAGAUUAUUUAUGGAAUUAUUAUCUAAAUAUAAUUCAGUGUUUUUUGCUUUCAACAACUACUGUAAAAGUCUGAUUUAAUAAAAUGUGAAAUAUU